rnacentral:rRNA from 1 species
GUGGGGAAUUUUGGACAAUGGGCGCAAGCCUGAUCCAGCAAUGCCGCGUGCAGGAAGAAGGCCUUCGGGUUGUAAACUGCUUUUGUACGGAACGAAACGGUCCUGGUUAAUACCUGGGGCUAAUGACGGUACCGUAAGAAUAAGCACCGGCUAACUACAUGCCAGCAGCCGCGGUAAUACGUAGGGUGCGAGCGUUAAUCGGAAUUACUGGGCGUAAAGCGUGCGCAGGCGGUGCUGUAAGACAGGCGUGAAAUCCCCGGGCUCAACCUGGGAAUUGCGCUUGUGACUGCAGUGCUGGAGUACGGCAGAGGGGGAUGGAAUUCCGCGUGUAGCAGUGAAAUGCGUAGAUAUGCGGAGGAACACCGAUGGCGAAGGCAGUCCCCUGGGCCUGUACUGACGCUCAUGCACGAAAGCGUGGGGAGCAAACAGGAUUAGAAACCCGUGUAGUCC